GUAGGUGGCAAGCGUUGUCCGGAAUUAUUGGGCGUGAAGCGCGCGCAGGCGGUCCUUUAAGUCCGAUGUGAAAGCCCACGGCUCAACCGUGGAGGGUCAUUGGAAACUGGGGGACUUGAGUACAGAAGAGGAAAGCGGAAUUCCACGUGUAGCGGUGAAAUGCGUAGAGAUGUGCAGGAACACCAGUGGCGAAGGCGGCUUUCUGGUCUGUAACUGACGCUGAGGCGCGAAAGCGUGGGGAGCAAACAGGGAUUAGAUACCCUGGUAGUCCACGCCGUAAACGAUGAGUGCUAAGUGUUAGGGGGGUUUCCGCCCCCUUAGUGCUGCAGCUAACGCAUUAAGCACUCCGCCUGGGGAGUACGGCCGCAAGGCUG
rnacentral:rRNA from 1 species